rnacentral:lncRNA from 1 species
UGGCCUCUCUCUCCAGAAGGGGGCGACAGCUGGAAGGACGAGCUGCUGCAGCUGGCUCGGUCCAAACAGGAGAGACUGACAUCUGAACUGGACCACCUGAGACAGGUUUGCGAGGAGCAGCAGGACGACCUGCAGCAGCUGAGGCGGGGCGAGAGGAGCGCCGGGGAGCUGCUGAGCAGCCAGGACGAGCCGGACCACCGGCCUCCUCCACCCCUCGCCGUGAGGAGCCACAGAGACCCGUCCUCGCUGACCGGAGCCCUGAGAGGACCAGGACGCCGCCGGCAGGCAGACGUACAGCCUGACGCUGCUUUAGCGAACCAGACAUGGAGGACGGUCUCCGCUGCGCCCGGCUGCUCUCUGCUGGAUGAAUCCCGGCUGUUCGCCACUGGUCCAGACGGCGGCGUGACCCUUGACCCCCGCCGGCCCCCCCCCACUGCCCCCUCUCUGAAGUGUGGCGCUCCACCCUGAAGCCGAAGCUUCCUGCGGCGCCGCGUCAAAAACCUCGUCCGAAUUCAGUGUUACGCCCCACAGGGUGAAAAAACCCGAUCGCGAUGAAUGUAUUUUUAAUUAAACAUGAGCUGUGAUGAAGAUAUUGAAUUGAAAGCUCUUCAUUUGUCCCA